UGGGGAAUAUUGCACAAUGGGGGAAACCCUGAUGCAGCGACGCCGCGUGAGCGAAGAAGGCUUUCGAGUCGUAAAGCUCUGUCCUAUGAGAAGAUAAUGACGGUACCUGAAAAACAAGCCACGGCUAACUACGUGCCAGCAGCCGCGGUAAUACGUAGGUGGCGAGCGUUAUCCGGAUUUACUGGGUGUAAAGGGCGUGCAGGCGGGCUGAUAAGUCAGAUGUGAAAUCCCCGAGCUUAACUCGGGAACUGCAUCUGAUACUGUUGGUCUUGAGUGCUGGAGAGGAUAGUGGAAUUCCUAGGGUAGCGGUAAAAUGCGCAGAUAUUAGGAGGAACACCAGUGGCGAAGGCGGCUAUCUGGACAGUAACUGACGCUGAGGCGCGAAAGCGUGGGUAGCAAACAGG
rnacentral:rRNA from 1 species